GACGAACGCUGGCGGCGUGCUUAACACAUGCAAGUCGAGCGGAAAGGCCCUUCGGGGUACUCGAGCGGCGAACGGGUGAGUAACACGUGAGCAACCUGCCCUAGGCUUUGGGAUAACCCCGGGAAACCGGGCUAAUACCGGAUAGGACCUGGCGUCGCAUGGCGCUUGGUGGAAAGUUUUCGGCCUGGGAUGGGCUCGCGGCCUAUCAGCUUGUUGGUGGGGUGAUGGCCUACCAAGGCGACGACGGGUAGCCGGCCUGAGAGGGCGACCGGCCACACUGGGACUGAGACACGGCCCAGACUCCUACGGGAGCAGCAGUGGGGAAUAUUGCACAAUGGCCGAAGCCUGAUGCAGCGACGCCGCGUGAGGGAUGACGGCCUUCGGGUUGUAAACCUCUUUCAGCAGGGACGAAGCGCAAGUGACGGUACCUGCAGAAGAAGCGCCGGCCAAC
rnacentral:rRNA from 1 species